GAAGAAUCGUCCUCGUCCUGAUCCGCAACCGUUUUUGAUUCCGUUCCCUCCUCCUCCUCCAUCUUCCAACUUACGAUUUCACUUUCCGCUUCAACCAAAUAACUCACAUUGCAGGCCCUGCAAUCUAACUAGGCCCGUUCUUCUUUCGCGCUUAUCGUUCGUUAUUGGAGCAUGUAGAUGUAGCAGUAGCACGGUACUAUUAUUAUGUCUAUGCGGAGAUUGUUGCAACUUCGAUUCCUCACUCGUCGUCGUUUCUGUACCCAAAACUCUGCGUUUCGGUCUGCUCUAGAUUAUUCUGGAAACGAUCUGGUAGCUACGCAUUUGUGUAAUUGCGCUACAGUGCGAGAGCUAAACCGAGUGUAUGGUCACGUUUUAAGGACGCAUUUUUUGAUAUCCAAUCCGGCGCCGUUUAACUGGAACAAUAUUAUAAGAUCCUACACGAGGCUAGAGGCUCCACGCGAUGCACUUCGGAUCCAUGUUUUCAUGUUGCGGAAUGGGGUUUUGCCCGAUUGUUACACCCUUCCCAUUGUUCUCAAGGCCGUGUGCCAGGUUUUUGAUGUUAAGCUUGGGAAACAGCUUCAUUCCGUUGGUAUCAAGAUUGGACUGCAGUGUAAUGAGUACUGUGAAACGGGUUUUAUAAGCUUGUAUUUCAAAGCUGGCGAAUUUGGAAGUGCGCGUAUGGUGUUUGACGAAAAUCCUGACCCGAAGUUGGGUUCUUGGAAUGCUGUAAUAGGUGGGUUUUCCCAGGCUGGUCUCGCCAGGGAUGCGAUUCGUGUCUUUAUCGAUAUGAGGAGGCGUGGAUUUAUGCCGGAUGGUGUUACCAUAGUUAGCAUCACUUCGGCUUGUGGAAACAUUGGUGAUCUCAACCUGGCUCUACAGUUGCAUAGUAAAUGUGUUUUCCAUGCUAGAGGUUCUGAGAGGACUGACAUUUUGAUGUUGAAUUCGCUGAUUGAUAUGUAUGGCAAGUGUGGGAGGAUGGACCUGGCUUACAAGGUUUUCGCAACGAUGGAGGAACGGAAUGUGUCAUCGUGGACGUCGAUGAUUGUGGGGUAUGGGAUGCAUGGACAUGUAAAGGAAGCGCUUGAGUGCUUCUGGCGGAUGAGGGAGGCUGGGGUGAGGCCGAAUUAUGUGACUUUUAUUGGAGUGCUUAGUGCUUGUGUGCAUGGAGGGGCAGUUCAAGAAGGGAGAUUUUAUUUUGAUAUGAUGAAGAAUGUUUAUGGCAUAACGCCCCAAUUGCAGCAUUAUGGAUGCAUGGUGGACCUUCUCGGUCGAGCAGGAUUGCUUGAAGAGGCCAGAAGAAUGGUGGAGGAAAUGCCCAUGAAGCCAAAUUCGGUGGUCUGGGGGUGUUUGAUGGGUGCUUGUGAAAAAUAUGCAAGUGUGGACAUGGCGGAGUGGGUAGCUAAGCAUUUGCAAGAAUUGGAACCUUGGAAUGAUGGUGUUUACGUGGUGUUGUCGAAUAUCUAUGCCAAUAGAGGCUUGUGGAAGGAGGUGGAGAGAAUAAGAUCGGUAAUGAAAGAAGGAAGACUUGCUAAGGUUCCUGCUUAUAGCCUGACAACAAAUUCCAAUUGAAGAUUCUACAAUAAUUUAUUUUAUCAUUGGGGAUUUUACAAUCAUUUAUAGUUCUGCUUGUGUCGAUUUUACUUGAAAACUGAAAUGUUGUUUUUCAGUAAUAUAUACUCCAUGAGCAGAUGUUUCCAUUAGUGGGCUAGUUGGCGAGAGGAUGACCAAAGUUUAGGUGUCAAAUUACAUUUUGGGAGUUUAAGGCCCAUUUUUGUUCGGACAUGACACAUAAGACGUAGCGAUCACGGUAGUACUUUUUCUCUGUAAAAUGAAUCAGGAGUCAAAUCUACUAUAUGAUAAAUAUAGCUGGAAUGAGGAAUGCUAUGUCCGAAUUAGUAUUUCGAACCAUUCAAUCAUUUAUAUCUGUAAAAUAUUUUAAAUAAAAUAUUUUUUAAAUUUUAUUAUUCUUAAGUUUUAAGCAUUCGAAGGAUUUUUCGUCCAAAACUUUUCGGAGGGUGUAUCAUUUCUGAGCUGGAAUUGGAUGUCUCUUCUUUGUCAUUUUCUUUUUAGUUUUCUUCGAUGUACCUACUGCUUGGCUCACAAUCUUGGUAGGCUUGUUAAAUUUACAAGUGAUACUUGUCUGUUUUUGGAGCGCUGAAUUUUAUUUUCUUAAUCUCAAUUUUUUUAUUUUUUUAUUUGGACAAUAUUUUAGGAGUUCUAACUUCUAUGACCUGAGGAGAGAAAAUUGUAAUAGAAAAAAUCAUGAGACCACCAUUAUAAAUUGUUGAUCCAUAGGAGAGACCAUCAUCUGCUAUUGCUUAUGCAUGCGUGGUCCUGGCGCUUUUGCAUCAGAGCUCAUAAUCUGGUACGUGGACUCCACAUCUGCACCAACUGGUGUUCAUGAGCCUAAUAAGAAAUUUACAAGGUCCCAGAUCAGUCCUGAUUUUUUUCAUUGGUAAUUUGUACAUUUAUUUUUCUCUCUUUUUUUCAUUACA